rfam:Lyngbya majuscula 3L genomic scaffold scf52047, whole genome shotgun sequence.
GUCAAUAACUCACCGCUAAGUCCUAUGGGACUAUAGCGGGAGCUUGUUAAAAGCUCGUAGUUGACCAGUCUAAGUUCUAUAAGAACUACGUUAUUCCUAAGUGUUAAAGUUCCUACCUGAGGAUGCGUAGCUAGUCUUCAGCUCUAGAACCCGGUCGUUAAACAGGUGUAUUUGGGUUAAGCCAGUGCGACUAGGAAAGUACCGAGGAAUAACAUUGACUAAGCUAACUUAAC